rnacentral:rRNA from 1 species
GAUUAAGUUAUUAAGGGCGCACGGUGGAUGCCUUGGCACUAGAAGCCGAUGAAGGACGUUACUAACGACGAUAUGCUUUGGGGAGCUGUAAGUAAGCUUUGAUCCAGAGAUUUCCGAAUGGGGAAACCCAGCAUGAGUUAUGUCAUGUUAUCGAUAUGUGAAUACAUAGCAUAUCAGAAGGCACACCCGGAGAACUGAAACAUCUUAGUACCCGGAGGAAGAGAAAGAAAAUUCGAUUCCCUUAGUAGCGGCGAGCGAAAUGGGAAGAGCCCAAACCAACAAGCUUGCUUGUUGGGGUUGUAGGACACUCUAUACGGAGUUACAAAGGACGACAUUAGACGAAUCAUCUGGAAAGAUGAAUCAAAGAAGGUAAUAAUCCUGUAGUCGAAAAUGUUGUCUCUCUUGAGUGGAUCCUGAGUACGACGGAGCACGUGAAAUUCCGUCGGAAUCUGGGAGGACCAUCUCCUAAGGCUAAAUACUCUCUAGUGACCGAUAGUGAACCAGUACCGUGAGGGAAAGGUGAAAAGCACCCCGGAAGGGGAGUGAAAUAGAACCUGAAACCGUGUGCUUACAAGUAGUCAGAGCCCGUUAAUGGGUGAUGGCGUGCCUUUUGUAGAAUGAACCGGCGAGUUACGAUUUGAUGCAAGGUUAAGCAGUAAAUGUGGAGCCGUAGCGAAAGCGAGUCUGAAUAGGGCGUUUAGUAUUUGGUCGUAGACCCGAAACCAGGUGAUCUACCCUUGGUCAGGUUGAAGUUCAGGUAACACUGAAUGGAGGACCGAACCGACUUACGUUGAAAAGUGAGCGGAUGAACUGAGGGUAGCGGAGAAAUUCCAAUCGAACCUGGAGAUAGCUGGUUCUCUCCGAAAUAGCUUUAGGGCUAGCCUCAAGUGAUGAUUAUUGGAGGUAGAGCACUGUUUGGACGAGGGGCCCCUCUCGGGUUACCGAAUUCAGACAAACUCCGAAUGCCAAUUAAUUUAACUUGGGAGUCAGAACAUGGGUGAUAAGGUCCGUGUUCGAAAGGGAAACAGCCCAGACCACCAGCUAAGGUCCCAAAAUAUAUGUUAAGUGGAAAAGGAUGUGGCGUUGCCCAGACAACUAGGAUGUUGGCUUAGAAGCAGCCAUCAUUUAAAGAGUGCGUAAUAGCUCACUAGUCGAGUGACACUGCGCCGAAAAUGUACCGGGGCUAAACAUAUUACCGAAGCUGUGGAUUGUCCUUUGGACAAUGGUAGGAGAGCGUUCUAAGGGCGUUGAAGCAUGAUCGUAAGGACAUGUGGAGCGCUUAGAAGUGAGAAUGCCGGUGUGAGUAGCGAAAGACGGGUGAGAAUCCCGUCCACCGAUUGACUAAGGUUUCCAGAGGAAGGCUCGUCCGCUCUGGGUUAGUCGGGUCCUAAGCUGAGGCCGACAGGCGUAGGCGAUGGAUAACAGGUUGAUAUUCCUGUACCACCUAUAAUCGUUUUAAUCGAUGGGGGGACGCAGUAG